GGGUUGUGAGGUUAAGCGACUAAGCGUACACGGUGGAUGCCCUGGCAGUCAGAGGCGAUGAAGGACGUGCUAAUCUGCGAUAAGCGUCGGUAAGGUGAUAUGAACCGUUAUAACCGGCGAUUUCCGAAUGGGGAAACCCAGUGUGUUUCGACACACUAUCAUUAACUGAAUCCAUAGGUUAAUGAGGCGAACCGGGGGAACUGAAACAUCUAAGUACCCCGAGGAAAAGAAAUCAACCGAGAUUCCCCCAGUAGCGGCGAGCGAACGGGGAGCAGCCCAGAGCCUGAAUCAGUGUGUGUGUUAGUGGAAGCGUCUGGAAAGGCGCGCGAUACAGGGUGACAGCCCCGUACACAAAAAUGCACAUGCUGUGAGCUCGAUGAGUAGGGCGGGACACGUGGUAUCCUGUCUGAAUAUGGGGGGACCAUCCUCCAAGGCUAAAUACUCCUGACUGACCGAUAGUGAACCAGUACCGUGAGGGAAAGGCGAAAAGAACCCCGGCGAGGGGAGUGAAAAAGAACCUGAAACCGUGUACGUACAAGCAGUGGGAGCACGCUUAGGCGUGUGACUGCGUACCUUUUGUAUAAUGGGUCAGCGACUUAUAUUCUGUAGCAAGGUUAACCGAAUAGGGGAGCCGAAGGGAAACCGAGUCUUAACUGGGCGUUAAGUUGCAGGGUAUAGACCCGAAACCCGGUGAUCUAGCCAUGGGCAGGUUGAAGGUUGGGUAACACUAACUGGAGGACCGAACCGACUAAUGUUGAAAAAUUAGCGGAUGACUUGUGGCUGGGGGUGAAAGGCCAAUCAAACCGGGAGAUAGCUGGUUCUCCCCGAAAGCUAUUUAGGUAGCGCCUCGUGAAUUCAUCUCCGGGGGUAGAGCACUGUUUCGGCAAGGGGGUCAUCCCGACUUACCAACCCGAUGCAAACUGCGAAUACCGGAGAAUGUUAUCACGGGAGACACACGGCGGGUGCUAACGUCCGUCGUGAAGAGGGAAACAACCCAGACCGCCAGCUAAGGUCCCAAAGUCAUGGUUAAGUGGGAAACGAUGUGGGAAGGCCCAGACAGCCAGGAUGUUGGCUUAGAAGCAGCCAUCAUUUAAAGAAAGCGUAAUAGCUCACUGGUCGAGUCGGCCUGCGCGGAAGAUGUAACGGGGCUAAACCAUGCACCGAAGCUGCGGCAGCGACGCUUAUGCGUUGUUGGGUAGGGGAGCGUUCUGUAAGCCUGUGAAGGUGUGCUGUGAGGCAUGCUGGAGGUAUCAGAAGUGCGAAUGCUGACAUAAGUAACGAUAAAGCGGGUGAAAAGCCCGCUCGCCGGAAGACCAAGGGUUCCUGUCCAACGUUAAUCGGGGCAGGGUGAGUCGACCCCUAAGGCGAGGCCGAAAGGCGUAGUCGAUGGGAAACAGGUUAAUAUUCCUGUACUUGGUGUUACUGCGAAGGGGGGACGGAGAAGGCUAUGUUGGCCGGGCGACGGUUGUCCCGGUUUAAGCGUGUAGGCUGGUUUUCCAGGCAAAUCCGGAAAAUCAAGGCUGAGGCGUGAUGACGAGGCACUACGGUGCUGAAGCAACAAAUGCCCUGCUUCCAGGAAAAGCCUCUAAGCAUCAGGUAACAUCAAAUCGUACCCCAAACCGACACAGGUGGUCAGGUAGAGAAUACCAAGGCGCUUGAGAGAACUCGGGUGAAGGAACUAGGCAAAAUGGUGCCGUAACUUCGGGAGAAGGCACGCUGAUAUGUAGGUGAAGCGACUUGCUCGUGGAGCUGAAAUCAGUCGAAGAUACCAGCUGGCUGCAACUGUUUAUUAAAAACACAGCACUGUGCAAACACGAAAGUGGACGUAUACGGUGUGACGCCUGCCCGGUGCCGGAAGGUUAAUUGAUGGGGUUAGCGCAAGCGAAGCUCUUGAUCGAAGCCCCGGUAAACGGCGGCCGUAACUAUAACGGUCCUAAGGUAGCGAAAUUCCUUGUCGGGUAAGUUCCGACCUGCACGAAUGGCGUAAUGAUGGCCAGGCUGUCUCCACCCGAGACUCAGUGAAAUUGAACUCGCUGUGAAGAUGCAGUGUACCCGCGGCAAGACGGAAAGACCCCGUGAACCUUUACUAUAGCUUGACACUGAACAUUGAGCCUUGAUGUGUAGGAUAGGUGGGAGGCUUUGAAGUGUGGACGCCAGUCUGCAUGGAGCCGACCUUGAAAUACCACCCUUUAAUGUUUGAUGUUCUAACGUGGACCCGUGAUCCGGGUUGCGGACAGUGUCUGGUGGGUAGUUUGACUGGGGCGGUCUCCUCCUAAAGAGUAACGGAGGAGCACGAAGGUUGGCUAAUCCUGGUCGGACAUCAGGAGGUUAGUGCAAUGGCAUAAGCCAGCUUGACUGCGAGCGUGACGGCGCGAGCAGGUGCGAAAGCAGGUCAUAGUGAUCCGGUGGUUCUGAAUGGAAGGGCCAUCGCUCAACGGAUAAAAGGUACUCCGGGGAUAACAGGCUGAUACCGCCCAAGAGUUCAUAUCGACGGCGGUGUUUGGCACCUCGAUGUCGGCUCAUCACAUCCUGGGGCUGAAGUAGGUCCCAAGGGUAUGGCUGUUCGCCAUUUAAAGUGGUACGCGAGCUGGGUUUAGAACGUCGUGAGACAGUUCGGUCCCUAUCUGCCGUGGGCGCUGGAGAACUGAGGGGGGCUGCUCCUAGUACGAGAGGACCGGAGUGGACGCAUCACUGGUGUUCGGGUUGUCAUGCCAAUGGCACUGCCCGGUAGCUAAAUGCGGAAGAGAUAAGUGCUGAAAGCAUCUAAGCACGAAACUUGCCCCGAGAUGAGUUCUCCCUGACUCCUUGAGAGUCCUGAAGGAACGUUGAAGACGACGACGUUGAUAGGCCGGGUGUGUAAGCGCAGCGAUGCGUUGAGCUAACCGGUACUAAUGAACCGUGAGGCUUAACCUUACAACGCCGAAGCUGUU
rnacentral:rRNA from 1 species